CCUACGGGCGGCAGCAGUAGGGAAUUUUCGGCAAUGGGGGGAACCCUGACCGAGCAACGCCGCGUGAGGGAGGAAGUAUUUCGGUAUGUAAACCUCUGUUAUAAAGGAAGAACGGUGCAUGUAGGGAAUGACAUGCAAGUGACGGUACUUUAUGAGGAAGCCACGGCUAACUACGUGCCAGCAGCCGCGGUAAUACGGAGGAUGCGAGCGUUAUCCGGAUUUAUUGGGUUUAAAGGGUGCGUAGGCGGAAUGCCAAGUCAGCGGUAAAAUCGCGGGGCUCAACCUCGCUCCGCCGUUGAAACUGGCGUUCUUGAGUGGGCGAGAAGUAUGCGGAAUGCGUGGUGUAGCGGUGAAAUGCAUAGAUAUCACGCAGAACUCCGAUUGCGAAGGCAGCAUACCGGCGCCCAACUGACGCUGAAGCACGAAAGCGUGGGUAUCGAACAGGAUUAGAUACCCCUGUAGUC
rnacentral:rRNA from 1 species